UCCCUGGUAGUCCAAUGGUUAGGACUCUGUACUUUCACUGCUGAAGGCAUGGGUUCAAUCCCUGGUCAGGGAA
rnacentral:tRNA from 1 species